rnacentral:rRNA from 1 species
UACGAAGGGGGCUAGCGUUGUUCGGAUUUACUGGGCGUAAAGGGCGCGUAGGCGGAUUUUUAAGUCAGGGGUGAAAUCCCAAGGCUCAACCUUGGAACUGCCUUUGAUACUGGGAAUCUUGAGUCCGGGAGAGGUGAGUGGAACUGGCGAGUGUAAGAGGUGAAAUUCGUAGAUAUUCGCAAGAACACCAGUGGCGAAGGCGGCGAUCUGGGUUGAUACUGACGCUGAGGUGCGAAAGCGUGGGGAGCAAACAGG